ensembl:lncRNA
GAUGGGGUUUGGCUGUCUUGCAGAACUGGAAAAGUAGGGGGUUCUAGCUUGGUGCCUGCUGGCCUUGAGGCAAGGCCCCCUCUUUCCUUGACCGUUUAUUUUUUCCUGUCCCACUGCUUGGGAUGAGGAGUUGCAGCUUCAGUGCAGAAAUUCCUCUUUUUGAGGAACCUGGGCUUGGGUUUGCCCCAGUCUGAUGAUGAAGCCAUGACACUUUAGACCUAGCUCAGGCUUGGAGGCCAGCCGGAGGAAGGCCGGUCUGAAUCUGGGCUUGUGCAGUUAGAGGUACCAUUUCCCCUCCCCAGCAGCCCUUGUACAGACCCAAAUUUGCUAUGCAAAACAGUCUAUCCCAGGUUCUGUUCUGAUUGGCUACUUUGUUCAGCGACUUCACAAAACGUAGCACAAACAUUGAUUAUAGAGAAGGCAUCAGGACUGUUGAGUAACUCCUCCUUUACUUCUUUCCUACUGGCUACAGCGUGGGGUGCCCCAUGGGCACAGCCCAGCUGCAGAGCAGAAUGGAGGGCUCUGGGAGGAGGCAGCUCACUGGAGAGCCUACAUUCCUUACACAAGUGCCUAAAGAGAGUGAUGCCAACACUCCAUCUGCCCUGUCCAUCGCCUUCAUAUACUGUCUACUUCGUGUUCAGUCACCCUUUGGGGAUGGGAGCUCUCUUGGAACAAUGGGCUCUGCAUGUUCUCUUCUUGGGUGCAUUUUGGGGCUGGGAUCAGGGCACUAUUUCUGGAGGGUCCAGUCGUUCACCAGCAUUUGCAAAUGUCCAUAGGGAGCUGGUAGUAGCCCCCUACUCUCAGCAACAAGUUUGUGUUCUCUCCUUUUUCUCUCUUUGCCUCACUCUCUCCAGUUGGGUUUUGAGCUGGGGCUUGAAAUGCAUUUUUUAGCCCUUUGGCAUUGCACAUGCCAUUCAAGAAAUAAAAGCAAGAGAAGCAGCUUGGGCAAUGGCAAGAAAAUGACUUCUUACUCUGCUUUUUCUUUUUAGUCAUUGAGACUUGAAAAAUACCCUUGACCUUGAGGAUUGUUCUUGUUUGAAAGAUGGUGCAUGCAAAUUGAGAAGUGGUGUUGGCAACAAGUUUUGGCUUUGUUUUAAGGGGUGCUUCUUACUUAAGCUCUAAGGAAAUGCUUGGGAGACCUCAGCCUCAUCCUCUUAGACAGGUCUCUUGUUCCCUUCAUUCCACUCUUUUGCCUUCCUUUUCGUCUUCUCUCUUUCCCUGGCUUCCUUUUCCUUUUUUCUCUUCACUCAGCCUGCCCAAAUGGCAUGAAAUCAGGGGGCUUCUGGCAACUUCCACACCUGUCCAUUCCUUGGAGUUGUUCCUCUCGUUGCUUUUUCUGGACCUGGUUCUAUUUCUCCCUACCUGGGGCUUCUCUUUUCUGAGGAUUUCCUAGGAUUGAGCUACUUGUAUCCAGGGUUGAAGGGUUAGGGAAUGGACAUGGGGGAAGAAGAGAGUGAUGGGAAGAAAAUGGAGAGAAUUUGGAUAAAAGGUGGGAAAGGAGAGCACUGCAUAUUGAUCAUUUUUCCAGUCCAGCCUGACCUGUUGGGGGUUGAGGUGCUAUUGCUGGCCUCUGGGGAUGAGCCUGGGGCUGUUGUUGCUGGGAACUUAGGUUUAAAAUAAUGCUGAAGAAGAAGGUACCUAAAAGUGUGAAACCUCCCUAAAAAGCUCUUGGUUCCCACCUAGAUAGCUCCUCUGUGGCCUCCUCUUUGGCUAAGCAACAAUGUUCUUGGGUAGUUUUCUUAUCCAGAAUUCUGUAAAUGAGGCUAGCACUGAAGAUGGGCAGCUGAGGGGACACUUUGACUUCUUAGCUGGCCCAUAGGAUAUCUGCAAGGCUGGUGGGACAGUGUUUUAGACAUGGCAUCAUGUGUAACAAAGAAGGAUGGAGGUUCCUUCCCCUUCAGGGUAGGAGGUCAACUCAAACUAGCCAAAAUGCGGUUUUGGAAACUACAUCGGGGGAAGUUAUUUUUAUUUAUAUUUACUGGGCCUAGGCCAAUUCAGGAUGGUAGCUGGGAUGCCUUCCUUCUUAAAGUCUGAUCAUGGCAGGGAUAUGCAGGGCACUCUUUCCUAUUUGGCCUUUUACGCAGAUUGGGGAAAAGAGAUUCUCUGGUUUUCUCUUUACCCCCAUUUAUUAGGACUUGCCUUCUCCCUGGGCAGGGAGGGAGGCUAGGUUGGUGCUCUCCCCUUACUCUACUCCUACUGACUUAGAACCUCUGGCUGCUGUUUGGGAGCCCAAGAAAGGGAGUGGAGGGAAUGGGCUCAAAACAAAAUGAAAAAACCAGAAUAAAGUGGGGAAGGCAAAUUUCCUUCUUUAAAAAGGAAAAUAGGAAACCCUCCAAGGAUUGUGCAAGUAAAGACAAUGUGUCGAAUGCACUGAGUUCCCUGGUGUAGUAGCAAUAAGGAAAAAUGAAAUAACUUUCCUGUGCACACAGUCCAACCUGAUUGCUGUGUGAUGUUUGCACUUAGCAGCCGUCUGGUGGGCAUGUGUGACUACUCUGGGUUUCACAUUAGUUUCUAAACUUUUUAUCCCUCUCAAGUCCAGCAUGGAUGGGGAAAUGUCCCUGGAGCCCCACAGCUGUGUACUUGUUUGCAUUUGUUUCCCUUUGAGACUUGUGUUUGUGUCCUGCUUUGAGCUGUACCUUGUCCAGUCCAUUGUAAAGUUAUCCCAGCAGCUGUAAUGUACAGUUCCUUCUGAAGCAAGCAACAACAGCAGCACAAUUCUGUGUUUUAUAAAGACAACAGUGGCUUCUAUUUCUAAAGUGCGGUCUCUCUCUCUCUUUUUUUUUCCUAUCAGGAAAGCAAACUGUUGGGAUUAAUUAUAUCUCUUGUAGAUUUUAGGUUAGAAUAGUAGAUUGUUAGAAGAGCAGAACCAUCCCUUCUAAAGGAGGAAAGUGGAUAAAACAAAUUCCGGAGUGUUGAAACUGCGGAUUGUAUGUAAUCAUACAUUACAGGGCCUCCAUUUAUUUAUUCAACAAACACGCAAAGCACUGUGUCCAGCAGUAUUGUGGAGGAGAAGUCAGACACAAUUCAAAAAUAAGGAAAACAGUGUCUCUCUCCUUGAGGAGCUUACAGUUUGGUGGAGGAUAUGAGUAGCCAAAUGGUCCCCUGGUACAGGAGAAAAAUGAUGAGGGACUGGAACAAGGCUAUAGGGCUAUAGCAGUGAAGAUAGAGAGGAAAAGGCAGAUUUGAGAGACACUCAGUAGAUAUAAUUAAUAGGACUCAAUGGAUAACGGAAGGAGAAUAGAGGAGUAGAGCCUAAUGCCCAGGUUUCUGCUUGAGGAAGUGAGUAUAUUGGGACAUUCCUCUAAUCAAGAUUGAGGGAAAGCGGGG